GACGAACGCUGGCGGCGUGCUUAACACAUGCAAGUCGAACGGAAAGGCCCUGCUUUUGUGGGGUGCUCGAGUGGCGAACGGGUGAGUAACACGUGAGUAACCUGCCCUUGACUUUGGGAUAACUUCAGGAAACUGGGGCUCAUACCGGAUAGGAGCUCCUGCUGCAUGGUGGGGGUUGGAAAGUUUCGGCGGUUGGGGAUGGACUCGCGGCUUAUCAGCUUGUUGGUGGGGUAGUGGCUUACCAAGGCUUUGACGGGUAGCCGGCCUGAGAGGGUGACCGGCGACAUUGGGACUGAGAUACGGACCAGACUCCUACGGGAGGCAGCAGUGGGGAAUAUUGCACAAUGGGCGGAAGCCUGAUGCAGCAACGCCGCGUGCGGGAUGACGGCCUUCGGGUUGUAAACCGCUUUCGCCUGUGACGAAGCGUGAGUGACGGUAAUGGGUAAAGAAGCACCGGCUAACUACGUG
rnacentral:rRNA from 1 species